GACGAACGCUGGCGGCGUGCCUGACACAUGCAAGUCGGACGGUUCUUGCGCCUUCAAGCUUGCUUGUUGGUUCGAGGAUAGUGGCGGACGGGUGAGUAACGCGUGAACACCUACCCAUUGGAGGGGUACAACCCGUCGAAAGGCGGGCUAAUACCGCGUAAGCCGUGAGGUGAAAGGCUGCCUUUUGGUGGCUGCCGAUGGAUGGGUUCGCGUCCUAUCAGCUUGUUGGUGGGGUAAGGGCCUACCAAGGCUAAGACGGGUAGCCGGUCUGAGAGGAUGGCCGGCCACACUGGAACUGAGACACGGUCCAGACUCCUACGGGAGGCAGCAGUGGGGAAUAUUGGGCAAUGGGGGAACCCGUGACCCAGCGACGCCGCGUGAGGGACGAAGGUUUUCGGAUCGUAAACCUCUGUUGUACGGGAAGAAGGAUGUGACGGUACCGUACGAGUAAGCCCCGGCAAACUACGUG
rnacentral:rRNA from 1 species